rnacentral:rRNA from 1 species
AUAAACGCUAGCGGCAGGCCUAACACAUGCAAGUCGAGGGGCAGCGGGUGGAGUAUUUCGGUACUCCUGCCGGCGACCGGCGCACGGGUGCGUAACGCGUAUGCAACCUACCUUUAACAGGGGGAUAAUCCGAAGAAAUUUGGUCUAAUACCCCAUAAUAUCAUUUAAGGCAUCUUAGAUGGUUGAAAAUUCCGAUGGUUAGAGAUGGGCAUGCGUUGUAUUAGCUAGUUGGUGAGGUAACGGCUCACCAAGGCUACGAUACAUAGGGGGACUGAGAGGUUUUCCCCCCACACUGGUACUGAGACACGGACCAGACUCCUACGGGAGGCAGCAGUGAGGAAUAUUGGUCAAUGGACGCAAGUCUGAACCAGCCAUGCCGCGUGCAGGAUGAAGGUGCUAUGCAUUGUAAACUGCUUUUGUACGAGGGUAAAUGCAGGUACGUGUACCUGUUUGAAAGUAUCGUACGAAUAAGGGUCGGCUAACUCCGUGCCAGCAGCCGCGGUAAUACGGAGGACCCGAGCGUUAUCCGGAUUUAUUGGGUUUAAAGGGUGCGUAGGCGGAUUAGUAAGUUAGAGGUGAAAGCUCGAUGCUCAACAUCGAAAUUGCCUCUGAUACUGUUAGUCUAGAGUAUAGUUGCGGAAGGCGGAAUGUGUGGUGUAGCGGUGAAAUGCUUAGAUAUCACACAGAACACCGAUUGCGAAGGCAGCUUUCCAAGCUAUUACUGACGCUGAUGCACGAAAGCGUGGGGAGCGAACAGGAUUAGAUACCCUGGUAGUCCACGCCGUAAACGAUGAUAACUCGUUGCAGGCGAUACACAGUCUGUGACUUAGCGAAAGCGUUAAGUUAUCCACCUGGGGAGUACGUUCGCAAGAAUGAAACUCAAAGGAAUUGACGGGGGCCCGCACAAGCGGAGGAACAUGUGGUUUAAUUCGAUGAUACGCGAGGAACCUUACCCGGGCUUAAAUUGCAAAUGAAUAUAGUGGAAACAUUAUAGCCGCAAGGCAUUUGUGAAGGUGCUGCAUGGUUGUCGUCAGCUCGUGCCGUGAGGUGUCGGGUUAAGUCCCAUAACGAGCGCAACCCCUACUGUUAGUUACCAGCACGUCAAGGUGGGCACUCUAGCAGGACUGCCGGUGUAAGCCGAGAGGAAGGUGGGGAUGACGUCAAAUCAGCACGGCCCUUACGUCCGGGGCGACACACGUGUUACAAUGGUCGGUACAGAGGGUCGCUACCCCGUGAGGGGAUGCCAAUCUCGAAAGCCGGUCUCAGUUCGGAUUGGAGGCUGAAACUCGCCUCCAUGAAGUUGGAUUCGCUAGUAAUCGCGCAUCAGCCAUGGCGCGGUGAAUACGUUCCCGGGCCUUGUACACACCGCCCGUCAAGCCAUGGGAGUUGGGGGUGCCUGAAGUACGUGACCGCAAGGAGCGUCCUAGGGCAAAACCGAUGACUGGGGCU